GACGAACGCUGGCGGCGUGCUUAACACAUGCAAGUCGAGCGGAAAGGCCCUUCGGGGUACUCGAGCGGCGAACGGGUGAGUAACACGUGAGUAACCUGCCCCAGACUUUGGGAUAACCCUCGGAAACGGGGGCUAAUACCGGAUAUGACACUUCACCGCAUGGUGUGGGUGUGGAAAGUUUUUCGUUUGGGAUGGCUCGCGGCCUAUCAGCUUGUUGGUGGGGGUGAUGGCCUACCAAGGCGACGACGGGAGCCGGCCUGAGAGGGCGACCGGCCACACUGGGACUGAGACACGGCCCAGACUCCUACGGGAGGCAGCAGUGGGGAAUAUUGCACAAUGGGGCGCAAGCC
rnacentral:rRNA from 1 species